rnacentral:rRNA from 1 species
GGAGCGACGAACCGGGCUUCGGCCCGGGGCAAAGUCGCGAACGGGUGAGUAACACGUGGGUAACCUGCCUCGAUGAUCGGGACAACCCGGGGAAACCCGAGCUAAUACCGAAUGUGCUCCGACCACAUCAGUGGACGGUGUAAAGGAAGCUUCGGCCUCCGCUUCGAGAUGGGCCCGCGGCCCAUUAGCUUGUUGGUGGGGUAAAGGCCUACCAAGGCUUCGAUGGGUAGCUGGUCUGAGAGGACGAUCAGCCACACUGGGACUGAGACACGGCCCAGACUCCUACGGGAGGCAGCAGUGGGGAAUCUUGCGCAAUGCGCGAAAGCGUGACGCAGCAACGCCGCGUGAGGGAAGAAGGCCUUAGGGUUGUAAACCUCUUUCAGGAGGGACGAAGGUCGGCACGUUAAUAGCGUGUCCGACCGACGGUACCUCCAGAAGAAGCCCCGGCUAACUACGUGCCAGCAGCCGCGGUAAUACGUAGGGGGCAAGCGUUG